rnacentral:rRNA from 1 species
UACGUAGGGUGCGAGCGUUAAUCGGAAUUACUGGGCGUAAAGCGUGCGCAGGCGGUGAUGUAAGUCAGAUGUGAAAUCCCCGGGCUUAACCUGGGAACUGCAUUUGUGACUGCAUCGCUGGAGUGCGGCAGAGGGGGAUGGAAUUCCGCGUGUAGCAGUGAAAUGCGUAGAUAUGCGGAGGAACACCGAUGGCGAAGGCAAUCCCCUGGGCCUGCACUGACGCUCAUGCACGAAAGCGUGGGGAGCAAACAGG